rnacentral:rRNA from 1 species
AACGCUAGCUACAGGCUUAACACAUGCAAGUCGAGGGGAAACGACAUCGAAAGCUUGCUUUUGAUGGGCGUCGACCGGCGCACGGGUGAGUAACGCGUAUCCAACCUGCCCACCACUUGGGGAUAACCUUGCGAAAGUAAGACUAAUACCCAAUGAUAUCCCACGAAGGCAUCCGAAUGGGAUUAAAGAUUUAUCGGUGAUGGAUGGGGAUGCGUCUGAUUAGCUUGUUGGCGGGGUAACGGCCCACCAAGGCUACGAUCAGUAGGGGUUCUGAGAGGAAGGUCCCCCACAUUGGAACUGAGACACGGUCCAAACUCCUACGGGAGGCAGCAGUGAGGAAUAUUGGUCAAUGGGCGAGAGCCUGAACCAGCCAAGUAGCGUGCAGGAUGACGGCUCUAUGGGUUGUAAACUGCUUUUAUAAGGGAAUAAAGUGAGUCUCGUGAGACUUUUUGCAUGUACCUUAUGAAUAAGGACCGGCUAAUUCCGUGCCAGCAGCCGCGGUAAUACGGAAGGUCCGGGCGUUAUCCGGAUUUAUUGGGUUUAAAGGGAGCGUAGGCCGGAGAUUAAGCGUGUUGUGAAAUGUAGUGGCUCAACCUCUGCACUGCAGCGCGAACUGGUCUUCUUGAGUACGCACAACGUGGGCGGAAUUCGUGGUGUAGCGGUGAAAUGCUUAGAUAUCACGAAGAACUCCGAUUG